UUCGUGCUCGGUGUCAGGGCGAGGUCCUGCCCCCUGAGGGCGGCCCCGAGCCGCCAGAGCUCAGGGAGCGCCGGGACGCCGCUCUCGGUCGCGGGGUCUGGUUUCGGGGCUCCCCGUGCGGAGCCGGGGGUUGGGCUCGGUCAUCCCUUCCAUCUCGGGGUGUUCCGCGGUUCCGCGGCCCGGAGGAGGGCUGCGAGGAGCGGGGCACUUGGUGUGCGAAUAAUCCCCGGAGGAAGAUUAACCAGAUCGGAAGAUUACCGGCCCUAAUCGCGUAAAGUCGUUUGUGACAGUUAACAGCAGAGAUCUCAGCCUGCGGCAGCGUGUGCUAAAAUAAGAAGGCUCCCAGCGAAGUGGUGGAAAUGAGCACUUGCGCGCAGCAUCCUGGCCGGGCUGGGAGUGAUUCAGGCUUGGUUUGGAUUUUUUCCUGACACCAACCAGAAGAAGCAGCAGGACUGGGGCUAGAUGCCAAAGCUGAGAAAUGCUCCUUUCCAGUGGGGGUUUCAAGGGCCAUGCAGAGAUCACCGCUCAACACGGGAGCUGCGGCUGAGCUGUGGCAGGAGGCAUCGCAAAGCCUUGGGCACCUGGAAAACAUUCCCGAGGCAGCGAGUGGCUGCUGGUGCCACGCUCUGCAGGCCUCUCCCAUAGGAGGCUCAGAGCCAGGCGCAAAUCAUCGCGGCCUUUCUUCUCCUGGACCCAGUGCCGCAGACAAGCCGCUCGCCUGGAAGCUGGACUCAGCCCGGAGGCCCACACGGAUUGAUUGCAUGUUUAUGUGCCCUCCUGGGAACCUGCGCAGCCGGAGCAUGUGGCCACCCGCCCGCUGCUACGGGAUGGUUUGCAUCACUCUGUGUUUUGUUGCGCAAAGAGAAGGUUUGGGUUUCA